GGCCCUAAAAGACAAAAAAGCCACCAUCUUCAAUGAUAAAUGAAAAAGUCGAUGGCCAAUUGUUCUAUAGUCUCUAAGCUUUCAAGGGUCAAAUAGUCAAAAAUAGUAGUCGGUUAUGAGACUUCGGAGAUGAACAUUCUCACUGCCCAAAAUAGAUCUGCACCCAUUUGCCGGCUAGGGCAAGCUUUUGUAGUUAUCGGUACGAAAACGAAAGACAUCUCUGAACACCAACACCAAACGAGAGCAACAGAAAACCAGAUCUUAAAAGAUCUAAGACGAUCAAUGCUGAAUAGCAUCAAAUUGACUAUCGCAUGUUUAAAGAGUCCAUCAUGAGCAACGAACCUAAAAGCAACAAAAUCACAACGCAAAACCUACGUACAACACUAUCUAGAGGAGGGGAAGGGCAAUCCAUAUUUGGGCAGGGCAUGUAGGGCCAUCCUUCUCCAAGAAGGGCAGAGAGCGACCUCAAAAUCAAGCAAAAGAAGAGAAUUUGUCUCAGAAAAAACGAAAAACCAAAGACAGAAAAGG
rnacentral:misc_RNA from 1 species